CGACGUCGCGCGUUUGCAGUGUAGACAGCUGCGUUGUUGCGUCGCGUUGCAUGCUGCGUCACAAUUUAAGUGCUUUCUGGUGUAAGGCCAGUGGAUUUAAUAUUCUCUUCUGAACUGAACUGUGAUGGAAACUAUAUUUAACCUAUAGCCAUAUUAUAACCUCUAGUGGCACAAAGCCAGAGCAAGGCAAGAGACGCAGAGUCAGUGUUUCACAUCAGCAUGGCUGAGCGCGGGACGUGCGCUCCUGUCAUACAUCACAACGCGUCAUUUUAUCGGGGAAACGGGGAACAUUUGACCCAGGUUAGUGAGGUUGAAUGAGAAGACGAUGGACAGCCGGACCGAGAAUCCAACGAAGGCGGCGGGCUAUCUGAAGGAGCUGAAUAAGAUCAUAGAGACCCAGCAGACGCUGCUGGAGCGGCAGAAGAGUCGCAUCUUUGAGCUGGAGCAGCAUGUGUCCGACCUGUGCGCCGAGAACAGCCGCCUGAGGCACGAGUACCAGCGGCAUCUGCUCACCUGCAGACUGCGCUCCGUCCGGGACAACAGCCCGCAGCAGCAAUCAGAAUACGGCAGCACAAGAAUCGUCAGAAGACACGCCUCACUUCCUGUGGAAGUGACGGACAGUCCCAGCAGCCUCAGAUCGGCCGUGUGCAGGAGAACUGUGCCCAGCCGACAGUGGACCUCUGCAACUCUCGGUGUGGAGGGGAAUAUUCAAAACAGCGAGCCUGGCCCUUCCUUGGACACCAGCAUAGGAUAUGGCCAUGGCCCUGUCACUCACAGUUCUUCCUUGAGUCCCGACCAGUUUGAAGGCUCAGCGUACAGCCACAGCAUCCAGCCAGGCCCACAGCGCCCUCAGCGACCCAAACUACAACACUCUCAAUCUAUCCUCCGCAAGCAGGCAGAGGAGGAGGCCAUCAAACGCUCACGCUCCCUCUCUGAAAGCUAUGAGCUCUCCACAGACCUUCAGGACAAGAAGGUGGAAAUGCUUGAGCGGAAAUAUGGAGGCCGUUUCAUAACCCGCCAUGCUGCACGGACCAUCCAGACAGCUUUCCGCCAAUACCAAAUGAACAAGAACUUUGAACGUCUCAGGAGUUCUAUGUCGGAGAACCGCAUGACCCGCAGGAUUCUUUUAUCCAACAUGAGGAUGCAGUUUUCCUUUGAAGGACCCGAGAAAGUCCACGGCUCUGUUUUUGAGGGGAAGCAAAUGUCUCUCCUGGAUGAUACCAGCCAAGUGGGAGCCAUGGUGCAGGCUGGAGAGAAGGUUCCCGUUAUUUUGGAGGCCCCAGAACCCCAAAACGAUUUAACAGAUACAAUCACAGAGCUAGAGGACACUUUCUCAAGGCAAGUAAAGUCAUUGGCAGAGUCAAUUGACGAUGCACUGAACUGCCGUAGUCUACGCAGAGAGGAGAUCCAGCCUGAACAAACAGUUUGUCAAGAGGGCCUGCAGCAGGAGGAUGAGCUCCCUCAGCCUGAUGAGCACCACAAGCUGGAUGAGAUCUGUGACGUGACACUAUUUAUCGAUGAAGAGGAGCUCUCUCCACUGGUUCAGCCUUCCUGCUCUAUAGAUCAGCCAUCCAGCACCGAGUCUGAGCAGCACACACAGUCCGUCGGCUCCUCGCAAGAGUAUUGGUCCAUGGAGGCCAAGGAUGACAAGUUGGACACGGACACUAGCUACAGGAGCACUCCAUCCCUCGAAUGCCAGGGGCAUUCACAGCUCUGUAUGGACUUACCCCUGUUGACCAUUGAGCCUCCCAGUGACAGCUCAGCAGAUAUAAGCGAUCGUUCUGAGCAUAGUUUGGUCCAGCCACAAAAUAUUCAUGAACGGACUGUAGCAGGACCACAGGCCAUUCCCAAACACAUCUCACAUGGACUACCUCCUAGAGUUCCCUCCCUUUCUCGAGACGAAGAGCCACUUAGACACCGGCAGGUGGAGAGCCACCUGGCCACCAACGGCAACCGACAGAGCAAGACAGAAUCAGAAUUUUCAGAUGGAGACAAUGACAGUAUCAACAGCAAUUCAAAUUCCAUUGACACAAUAAACUCAGAAUCCUCAUCUAGAGAUAGUCUCAGCAAGCAGACCUACCACAAAGACACUCGCAACAGCUGGGACUCUCCAGCGUUCAGCAGUGAUCUCAUGCGCAAGAGACAAUACCGCAUUGGCCUCAACCUCUUCAAUAAAAAGCCAGAGAAGGGAAUACAGUACCUAACGGAGAGGGGAUUUAUUCCCGACACGCCCGUGGGUGUGGCCCACUUCCUGCUGCAGAGGAAAGGCUUGAGUAGACAGAUGAUUGGUGAAUUUCUCGGGAACAGACAGAAACAGUUUAAUAGGGAUGUUUUAGACUGUGUGGUGGAUGAGUUAGAUUUCUCAGGGAUGGAGCUGGAUGAAGCUUUGCGGAAAUUCCAGGCUCAAAUCCGGGUUCAGGGGGAGGCACAGAAGGUGGAGCGCCUGAUCGAGGCUUACAGCCAGCGCUACUGCAUCUGUAAUCCUGACGUGGUCCGUCAGUUCCGUAACCCUGACACCAUCUUCAUCCUGGCAUUCGCCAUUAUCCUCCUCAACACAGACAUGUACAGCCCCAACGUCAAGCUGGAACGCAAGAUGAAGCUUGAGGACUUCAUCAAGAAUCUACGAGGGGUUGAUGAUGGAGAGGACAUUCCUCGGGAGAUGCUGGUUGGGAUUUAUGAACGGAUCCAAAAGAAGGAGCUCAAAACAAAUGACGACCAUGUGUCUCAGGUGCAGAAGGUGGAGAAACUCAUUGUGGGCAAGAAGCAAAUGGGAUCGCUUCACCAUGGCCUUGGAUGUGUGCUGUCUCAGGCUCAUCGCAGGCUCGUGUGCUACUGCAGACUGUUUGAGGUCCCGGAUCCAAACAGACUGCAAAAACUCGGCCAGCAUCAGCGGGAGAUCUUCCUGUUUAAUGACCUCCUGGUGGUUACCAAGAUCUUCCAAAAGAAGAAAAAUUCAGUGACAUAUAGUUUCAGGCAAUCUUUCUCUUUGUAUGGGAUGCAAGUGAUGCUCUUUGAGAAUCAGUUCUAUCCGAAUGGUAUCCGGCUGACUUCAGUCAUUCCAGGUGCUGACUUCAAAGUCCUGAUCAAUUUCAACGCUCCCAACUCUCAGGACCGCAAGAAAUUCACCAGCGACCUGCGAGAAUCCAUCGCUGAGGUCCAGGAAAUGGAAAAGUACCGGAUAGAGUCUGAGCUGGAGAAGCAGAAAGGGGUGGUCAGGCCCAGUAUGUCUCAGAGCAUGUCUGGACUAAAGAAAGAGACGGGAAAUGGCACCAUGGGCCGCACUAGUCUGGAUGACACUUACGCCAUGGGAGAGGGACUAAAGCGGAGUGCGCUCAGUAGCUCCUUGCGUGAUCUUUCUGAAGCAGGCAAGCAUGGGUGCCGUACCAGUGCAGGAUCUCUAGACCGCAGUAUGGAAGUAAGUAGGCAGUGGGUAGUAAUUAUUGUAUUUAAUAACAUGUAAUGCUCAUUUCUUUGCACAUACUGUGCUUCAUGAGUCAAACGUUCAUUCUUUUUCUUGUAACUUAUUUAUUGAUGCCUAACCCGCCUGCCUGCUCACGCGCAUGCAUGAACUGCUCGCCUACUGAAACUAGAGCUUGUGCAGAUGGUAAGAAAGACCUGACGCCUAUGUUUAAGAAUGCAUGUUUUUUCAAACAAUCUGAUGAUGGCUUCUUGAUGUUCCUUUAAUUCACUUGUGUCUGUUAGAUGGUUUAUGAACUUCACAUAUACAGACACAGAGUGAAGCUUUGUUUUUUACUCAAGUUGCUCGUCUUUGGUCAUUGCCUGGUGUCAAGCAGGGCUGGCGCCACAGGAGGGGAGGGCCGUGAGGGGGCGUCGCCUGGACUAUCCUUAGACUAUUUAAAAAAACACAAUUGCCAAGUGCAUAGGCUUUCUAGCAUUAAUAUUAUUAGGUUACUAUAGCAACAUUUUAGUUAAGGACAGUCUGUUUCAGUCACAUUUUGAGCUCUACUGGGUAGGCUAAAGGUAUGAUGAAAUAUUUUUUGUUUAGAGUAGGGGUCUCCAGACUCGGUCCUUGAGGGCCACUGUCCUGCAGAGUUUAGCUCCAAAUUGCCUCAACACACCUGCCUGGAAGUUUCUAGUAUGCCUAAUUAGACCUUGUUUAGCUGGUUCAGGUGUAUUUAAUUGGUGUUAGAGCUAAACUGUGCAGGACAGUGGCCCUCCAGGACCAAGUUUGGAGACCCCUGGUUUAGAGGGCUAGAUAAUUGGUCGUAGUUAGCCAAAAGCAGACACAAUUAAUUACUUUUGCUGGUGAUAGUAUAAUGGUAAUCUGUCUAUAUUCAUGGUUAAACCACUGAAAUUGUGUAUCAAAGACGUAUUUAUAUCUGGUGGUCUAAAGCGUGUUUAUUUUCGAAUACAUUGGCCUUGGCAAUUUUCCUUUGUUUUAUGUAGUAAUAUUAUUCAAUGCUCUGCUAUCUGUAUUUGCUCAUUAGCUUUUAGUUUCAUAGUUGUAUUAGUGACAGGUUUGUUUACAGUCCAACAAAUACGUGAAUGGGCCACAAAUGUUCUUCUAACUGGGGAUACUUUGUGUUGCGGCAUCGCCCCCUUUCUUUACGUCAUCGCCCCUUCUGCAGUGCUCCGCUGGCGCCAGCCUUGCCAGCAAGUCUCAUCAUGCUGACUGGAACUUCGAACACUGGGUCAGAUCAAGAAAAAUGUGGAUUCCAGUUUGGUUUUGUUCAUUAUAUUUCAUUCUGUCAUUUUGACAGGUGGAUGGUUUGAGUUGGCCUAUUGAUUCAAAGUGGAUUGCUGCUUAGUUCUUCUUACUUCAUCCAUUCAAAAUAUCUAACAUUGGGAAUCAAACAAUGUAAUCUUCUGUUAAAGAUAAAGAAAUAAGACAGCUGAAGAUGUGUCAAAGUUGAAUGCCUGAAGUACUGCUCACUCCAAAGAGCAAUGCGUUUUUGCAGCCCUGCAUGUUAAAGAUCUCUUCUUCCUACCUAGGUGCAUGUGCGAGAUUCGAGAUUGUUACAUUGAACAAUUUUAAUAUGAAUGUUCUACAGCACAUAUUCUUUUGAUUUCUACUCUACAAAAGGAUGAUUACAGCAAAUGCAGAUAUCUGUCUAAUGUUUACAUUUUGAGUCUGUUGAUUAACUCUUUCCCCGCCAUUAUACGGUAGGGGGCGCUGUUAUGCAUCUUCUGAAAGGGAACAGAAUAGAUAAUCAACCGAUAAUCAAGUUGAGAUAAUCAACCUAAUUAGCACAAGAGGAGGUAUAUAUAUACCCAACCUAUCUCUAUCCUACAACAGUUUUCCAGUAUUUGGCCCCGUUCGAUUGCUAUCAUGUCAGAGAUCAAAAUCUUUCCCUCUGAUGAUGAGUUCUCACUUCUCCUCGGAUCCUCCGCCGCAACCUGCUGACUCCAGGAUCACUCCCUCUCCGCCUGGUUCUGCCGCUGAGCCCCAGGCUUGAGCACCUGCUCCAAAGGGGGCCUGCACACCAAGACACCGAGGACUACCAUUGCCCCCACCAGUGACACAUCCGCCACACUCCCCGCAUCUUCUUAUACUUCGGCCAUCUCUCUCAUUGACAAAUGAACGGUAUUAGGAUUGAGGCAAGCGCUGAUAAACUCAGGCGUGCAGUUCUCACAGAGAAUGAAUAAAGCCCAGUCCUGUCGUGACGCCGUACGUAGCAAUGCCCUAGCCCGUCCUGCUGAAUGCUGCCGCAGUGUAACUGUGCGUAACCACCAGUGGCAAACAAAAUCUGAGCGCAAAUACUUUUAAGUACAGAUACUGACUUGGCCUCAUUUAUCUCUGCUCCCACCCAGUGAGUCAAAUCACUUAAUUGACUAGGCCAAUUUGUCAGUCAUUUUCAAGAACAUAGAUCAAAAUCUUCUUGUGUUCUUCCUGUUCUGAAUUUUGCAUCGCUUUCGGUCGCUACACCGAAAUAAUUUGCUCAGCGUUCCCCCAUAGACAGCACAAAUCAAACAAUGAUCACAUGAGCUUAAGAAACUGACAUAUUAGUAUACUAUUUAAACCCGAAAUCCAAUAAAUCCAACAGACUCCAUAAAAGGGGGUCUCGGGAUAAGAAAUCUCCAAAGUCCACACUUUACUUUCCAUUUCCAUCAGAUAAAAUGACAAAUAAAUGCAUACACCGAGAGCGCUCCACUACUGCUCCAUCACAAGCACAGUUAUGCCAUCUGGAUACUCAAUACAGAUUAGGUGAAUGCACAUUCAAAGAGUUUAUUGAACAGGUAUAUAAAUCGUCAUUCUAAACUAAUGCGCUGUUUCACCCCGGCACCGCCCCUCUCUCCUAACACUCUGCUCGAACCCAAAUCAUCAUAUGCUCUCUUCACCACAAUGCCGCUGGCCAUAUCACGAAUGCCAACGCCCUGGAACCCCCUCCCUUUGCAUAAACAUCAAAGCACACAUCCUUUCAGAAAUUCAGGCUGCUGGCUCCAGAGGCGGAUCCAACCCCAACCCAAGUACCUCACUAUUCUGAGCUGAUCUUCCCAUAAAUCACCCACUAAAACCUCUUCUCGACGAAUUGCUUGGCUCCAUCCUCCAAGCCAUUUCCACCAGAAUCCUCCAAUCAUGCCUGACAGCUAGGAGAGGUUUUAAGACAUUCCAUAUCAUGUAUAAUAUGCUGUUUCCUGAUUUUUCCCUGCUCUCCAUCUCAUCAUUUAUUUGUUAUCUUAAUAGCAUCAAAGGCCUCCAAACUAGUUCCAGUGGAAUCCAAUUCCUUCAUAAAUGAAUUUAUAGCAUAACCUCCCUUGAAAUAAACAAUGCACAGACCUCCCUCCUUAUGAAAGGUAUUCAAAGAUCCCAACCUCCCCACCCAGAUGCUAGACAACCCAUAACUCUGGACAUACUGACUAGAUGUAUCUCCACCCUUCACUCGGGCUAUCACUCCACAAAUACCGCAAAAGCAAACAGAUUAAGCUAAAAAUGCCACUUCAUUUACAUCUCCCGUCACCUAUUCAGCCGUACCAUUGUCUUGUCUUACUUAAACUUCAGAAGCUCUCAAGUCAAAUCCCCAUCCGACCCACUCUUCGUAGAUGACUCCAACCGCCCUGUCACACGUUUUUGGUUCCAAAAGCUCCUCAAAAUGAUUCUCAUACAAUCAAGCUGACAAUUUUUCCAGUCACUCAUUUUGAACAGGGGCAGCAACCACAGCUGCCCAAAAAGCUCUUACGUCACUCGCCUGCCAGCAAAGCUCACCCAUCUGAUGCCGUGAGCUGCAGGCUCCUCUCAGAUGCUGAAAAACAAAACAACAACAAAAAAUUCUCAUUCAGCCAGGUGUUCAGUCACUCAUUCUGCAUAGGGACAGCAACUACAGCAGCCCAAAAAGGCUCUCCCAGUAACAGAUCCAAACUCUUGGUUAAUGGUCAUCAGAUGUUUUCAAAAGUUUUAUCAGGUCUAAUCAGUUCCAUAUCAAAAAGCCCAUCAAACCCUCAUCAGCUAACCAGUCCAUGUUUUGUGAAACUUCAAAUCCACCGUAUCCACCCUAUUCAAACUCCAACAUUCUCAGCAUACCAAACUCAAAUAAUAACAGCAACUGCGGGCUCCCAGGUGGGGGCACCCUGGGGGCAGGGGGGCACCCUGUUUGUGGGCUCCCUCAAGUACAUCCGCAAAGUGCCAGUUGAGCCCUCCGAUUCGGUUUCAGUGAGAGCUCUCCCCUUUGUGCCACCGGGCGCCCCUCUUCGUGUUGCAGCGUGGGCUCUCAAUUCGGAGGCAGUGACGGGGUCAAUUCCUUAUGGUUUCGCCCUGCCCCCUCCAAUGCUGGUUGUGCCCUCCCGACUGAAUGCAGUGGGUGCCCCCAUUCAACUGCAGGUGGGGCUUACCCGUCCAAUGCCAUGAGCUCCCUAAGCUCCCACUGGAUGCUGUGAGAGCCCUUCCGGUCAAACGGGCAGACCCAAUCCCACAAAACCCCUACUCAAGCGGGCAUCCCGUUCGGCUUCUAGCAAGGCUUACCAACCAAAUAUCGUGAACAGCAAGCUCCUGUCGGAUGCUGUGUGAGCCCUCCCGGUCAAGUGGUUAAAAGAUUUGUGCACCCCCAUUUGACUGCUGGUGGGGCCGACCCAUCCGAUGCCUUGAGUGGCUAGUUCCUGUCGGAUGCUGUGUGAGCCCUCCCAUUCGGGCAGUUAAAAGAUUUGCGUGCCCUGUUCGACCACUGGUGGGGCCAACCCGUCUGAUGCUGUGAGCGGCUAGUUCCCAUCCGAUGCUGCGGGCAUUUAAAAAAAAAUCAUGUGAACCUUGUUUGUUGGCCGAUGGGGCUCAUCCGUCUGAUGCUGUGAUCUACAGGCUCCCGUCAGAUGUUGUGGGAGCCCUUCCGGUCGAAACGGCCAUGCUUUCCACUUUCGGCUGCCACCUGUCCGAUGCUGUGAGCAUUGAACUCCCGUCAGAUGCUGCGUGGGCCUCGCCGGUCAGGCGGUUAAAAUGACGCGCACCUUGUUUGUCGGCCAGUCGAGCGGCCAGGCUCCUUCCUGCAAAUGCCAGCCUGCCAAUUUACAGCAGACAAUUUUUGGGGUCUUCUAGUCAAUCCGUCUUCUGGUGGCUGUCCCUUGCUUAUUUUCUUCUUUGGAGGAGUACUCUGGGUUUGGGCCAAAUUCCAAGCCUAGAGGCCUCCUCUCGGACAGCAUGCCAAAUAUGCAUACUUUAAUUUCUAUAUCUGAUUAUAUGUAAACUCAUGAAAUGUUUUAUUAACAAAGUAUAAAUAUAGCCAACCUACCUCUAUCCUAUGACAGCUUUCCAGCAUCUCUCCACCACCCCAACUCCUCACUCUUAAAUAUUUCCUAUUCCGUCCAGGGAUGGGGGGAGUACUCUGGG